UACGAAGGUGGCAAGCGUUACUCGGAAUUACUAGGCGUAAAGGGCAGGUAGGUGGUUUGAUAAGUCUGUUGUGAAAGCUCCCGGCUCAACUGGGAGAGGCCAACGGAUACUAUCAGGCUUGAGUAUAGGAGAGGUUACUGGAAUUCCCGGUGUAGCGGUGAAAUGCGCCGAGAUCGGGAGGAACACCAAUGGCGAAAGCAGGUAACUGGACUAUUACUGACACUCAACUGCGAAAGCUAGGGGAGCAAACAGG
rnacentral:rRNA from 1 species